GGAACCUUACCUGGGCUUGAAAGUGAGUGACCGGCGCUGAAAGGCGCUUCCCUUCGGGGCACAAACUAGGUGCUGCAUGGCUGUCGUCAGCUCGUGCCGUGAGGUGUUGGGUUAAGUCCCGCAACGAGCCGCAACCCCUAUCAUCAGUUGCCAUCAGGUAAGCUGGGGACUCUGGUGAGACUGCCUGCGCAAGCAGUGAGGAAGGCGGGGACGACGUCAAGUCAUCAUGGCCCUUACGUCCAGGGCUACACACGUGCUACAAUGGCAGCUACAGAGGGCCGCGACCGUGCAAACGGGAGCUAAUCUCAAAAAGGUUGUCACAGUUCGGAUUGAGGUCUGCAACUCGACCUCAUGAAGUUGGAUUCGCUAGUAAUCGCGUAUCAGCAAUGACGCGGUGAAUACGUUCCCGGGCCUUGUACACACCGCCCGUCAAGCCAUGGGAGCCGGGGGUACCUGAAGGCCGUUACCGCAAGGAUCGGCUAAGGGUAAAACUGGUGACUGGGGCUAAGUCGUAACAAGGUAGGCGUAGUGCU
rnacentral:rRNA from 1 species